rnacentral:rRNA from 1 species
UACGGGGGGGGCAAGCGUUUGUUCGGAAUUACUGGGCGUAAAGCGCACGUAGGCGGAUUGUUAAGUUAGGGGUGAAAUCCCGGGGCUCAACCCCGGAACUGCCUUUAAUACUGGCAAUCUCGAGUCCGAGAGAGGUGAGUGGAAUUCCGAGUGUAGAGGUGAAAUUCGUAGAUAUUCGGAGGAACACCAGUGGCGAAGGCGGCUCACUGGCUCGGUACUGACGCUGAGGUGCGAAAGCGUGGGGAGCAAACAGG